CAGGUAGGGAUACCCG
rnacentral:rRNA from 1 species